CCACAGGGAGAGUGUGUGUGGGCGGGCGUGCAUGCGCACACGUGUGUGUGUGUAUGUGUGUGCAAUUGCAUGAGUUUGCUGAUGUUUCUGUGCUUGCGUGUCCCCUGCACAGUGGUUUGUACUGUCUGUAUCUGUGAGUACAUUACCACUUAUACAUGUGUUGGAGUCUAUUUACUUAUGUGUUUAUGAGGAUAUCAAUGACAGACAAAGGCCAAACCCAAUCCCCUCUGAUGCAGGCCAGGCCAGGCCAGGCUAGCUUGGGCUAGUUUGUCUCCAGGGCCUGCCUGUCUGUUUGUCUGCCUGUCUGUCUGUCUGUCUGUCUGCCUGUCUGUCUGUUUGUCUGCCUGUCUGUCUGUCUGCCUAUUAUCCCCACAGGCACUGUUCACUCCUCUGACAUCUGCUUGAUGGCAUGGCCAUUUCAUCACCCUACUGAGGUAGAGGGAAUAACCAGGACAACAGAGAGGUUGGGGAGAACAACAGGGAAUAACCAGGACAACAGAGGUUGGGGAGAACAACAGGGAAUAACCAGGACAACAGAGGUUGGGGAAAACAACAGGGAAUAACCAGGACAACAGAGGUUGGGGAGAACAACAGGGAAUAACCAGGACAACAGAGGUUGGGGAAAACAACAGGGAAUAACCAGGACAACAGAGGUUGUGGAGAACAACAGGGAAUAACCAGGACAACAGAGGUUGUUGAGAACAACAGGGAAUAACCAGGACAACAGAGGUUGGGGAGAACAACAGGGAAUAACCAGGACAACAGAGGUUGGGGAGAACAACAGGGAAUAACCAGGACAACAGAGGUUGUGGAGAACAACAGGGAAUAACCAGGACAACAGAGAUUGGGUAGAAAAACCGGGAAUAAAGAAAAGGGGGGUAAUUAUGCUUCAGCGUCGCCACGUAGCUUCAGCCACUAGCUCGAGUCUUGUGGGAUGGACGUGUGUUACACCAGGCUGUUUGAAUAGCUGAGAACGAUCCAAUGUAGGAGAGGAGAAAAGAGGAAUCUAGGAUAGAGGAAGAAAAGCGGAGGUCCUAAUGUUUAAAACCACCAAAACCUGACCAGAGGACAGGUCUACAGCUAACAUUGUAGUUAAACCACCAGGAGGACCAGAGGGCAGGCCUACAGCUAACAUUGUAGUUAAACCACCAGGAGGACCAGAGGACAGGCCUACAGCUAACAUUGUAGUUAAACCACCAGGAGGACCAGAGGACAGGCCUACAGCUAGCAUUGUAGUUGAACCACCAGGAGGACCCGAGGACAGGCCUACAGCUAACAUUGUAGUUAAACCACCAGGAGGACCAGAGGGCUGGUCUACAGCUAACAUUGUAGUUAUAACAGCAGGAGGACCAGAGGACAGGCCUACAGCUAACAUUGUAGUUAAACCACCAGGAGGACCAGAGGGCUGGCCUACAGCUAACAUUGUAGUUAAACCACCAGGAGGACCAGAGGACAGGCCUACAGCUAACAUUGUAGUUAAACCACCAGGAGGACCAGAGGGCUGGCCUACAGCUAACAUUGUAGUUAUAACAGCAGGAGGACCAGAGGACAGGCCUACAGCUAACAUUGUAGUUAUAACAGCAGGAGGACCAGAGGGCUGGCCUACAGCUAACAUUGUAGUUGAACCACCAGGAGGACCAGAGGGCUGGCCUACAGCUAACAUUGUAGUUAUAACAGCAGGAG
rnacentral:lncRNA from 1 species